rnacentral:other from 1 species
UAAUGCCUGCGGUAUGCGUGAUAUUAUUUUGUUUCUGAACUAAGUAAAAUUCGGAAGUCGAGCCAUUUGUGGCGCACAAGCCGGACACGAUUCGGAUAUGUAAAGCAAAUAAGGUAGACAUCCACUAUUGUAUAGUGGUUCGAGAAAACAUUAAUACACGGUACCUGCGGGUUUAUA